rnacentral:rRNA from 1 species
GCUAUCGGAUUGAUACUAAGCCAUGCGAGUCAUUGUAGCAAUACAAGGCAGACGGCUCAGUAACGCGUAGUCAAUCUACCCUAUGGACGGGAAUAACCUCGGGAAACUGAGAAUAAUGCCCGAUAGAACAUUAUGCCUGGAAUGGUUUAUGUUUCAAAUGAUUUAUCGCCAUAGGAUGGGACUGCGGCCUAUCAGUUUGUUGGUGAGGUAAUGGCCCACCAAGACUAUUACAGGUACGGGCUCUGAGAGGAGUAGCCCGGAGAUGGGUACUGAGACACGGACCCAGGCCCUAUGGGGCGCAGCAGGCGAGAAAACUUUGCAAUGUGCGAAAGCACGACAAGGUUAAUCCGAGUGGUUUCUGCUAGAGAAACCUUUUGUCAGUCCUAGAAACACUAACGAAUAAGGGGUGGGCAAGUUCUGGUGUCAGCCGCCGCGGUAAAACCAGCACCUCAAGUGGUCAGGAUGAUUACUGGGCCUAAAGCAUCCGUAGCUCGUUUUGUAAGUUUUCGGUUAAAUCCAUGCGCUUAACGUAUGGGCUGCCGGGAAUACUGCAUAACUAGGAAGUGGGAGAGGUAGACGGUACUCGGGAGGAAGGGGUAAAAUCCUUUGAUCUCUUGAUGACCACCUGUGGCGAAGGCGGUCUACCAGAACACGUUCGACGGUGAGGGAUGAAAGCUGGGGGAGCAAACCGGAUUAGAUACCCGGGUAGUCCCAGCUGUAAACUAUGCAAACUCAGUGAUGCAUUGGCUUAUGGCCAAUGCAGUGCUGCAGGGAAGCCGUUAAGUUUGCCGCCUGGGAAGUACGUACGCAAGUAUGAAACUUAAAGGAAUUGGCGGGGGAGCACCACAAGGGGUGAAGCCUGCGGUUCAAUUGGAUUCAACGCCGGAAA